GCAGUCGAACGAGUUCUGAUUAUUGAAAGGUGCUUGCAUCUUGAUUUAAUUUUGAACGAGUGGCGGACGGGUGAGUAACACGUGGGUAACCUGCCCUUAAGUGGGGGAUAACAUUUGGAAACAGAUGCUAAUACCGCAUAAAUCCAAGAACCGCAUGGUUCUUGGCUGAAAGAUGGCGUAAGCUAUCGCUUUUGGAUGGACCCGCGGCGUAUUAGCUAGUUGGUGAGGUAACGGCUCACCAAGGCAAUGAUACGUAGCCGAACUGAGAGGUUGAUCGGCCACAUUGGGACUGAGACACGGCCCAAACUCCUACGGGAGGCAGCAGUAGGGAAUCUUCCACAAUGGACGCAAGUCUGAUGGAGCAACGCCGCGUGAGUGAAGAAGGCUUUCGGGUCGUAAAACUCUGUUGUUGGAGAAGAAUGGUCGGCAGAGUAACUGUUGUCGGCGUGACGGUAUCCAACCAGAAAGCCACGGCUAACUACGUGCCAGCAGCCGCGGUAAUACGUAGGUGGCAAGCGUUAUCCGGAUUUAUUGGGCGUAAAGCGAGCGCAGGCGGUUUUUUAAGUCUGAUGUGAAAGCCCUCGGCUUAACCGAGGAAGUGCAUCGGAAACUGGGAAACUUGAGUGCAGAAGAGGACAGUGGAACUCCAUGUGUAGC
rnacentral:rRNA from 2 species